GACACCACCAUCCGUGGUUAAUCCUACGAUACCACCACCUUCAACACCUCCUACCACACCACCACCAAAUCCUAGGACACCUCCUACAAAUCCUAGGACACCUCCUACAAAUCCUAGGACACCUCCUACCACACCACCACCAAAUCCUAGGACACCUCCUACCACACCACCAACAAAUCCUAGGACACCUCCGAAAAAUCCUAUGACACCUCCUACCAUACCACCACCAAAUCCUAGGACACCUCCUACCACACUACCACCAAAUCCUAGGACACCUCCUACCACACCACCAGCAAACCCUAGGACACCUCCUACCAGACCACCGACAAACCCCAGAACACCUCCUACCACAUCACCACCAAAUCCUAGGACACCUCCGACAAAUCCUAUGACACCUCCUACCACACCACCAGCAAACCCUAGGACACCUCCUACCACACCACCGACAAACCCGAGGACACCUCCUACCACACCACCGACAAAUCCCAGGACACCUCCUACCACACCACCACCAAAUCCUAGGACACCUCCGACAAAUCCUAUGAAACCUCCUACCACACCACCACCAAAUCCUAUGACACCUCCUUCGACACCACCACCAAAUCCUAGGACACCUCCUACCACACCAUCACCAAAUCCUAGGACACCUCCUACAAAUCCUACCACACCACCAACAAACCCUAGGACACCUCCUACCACACCACCGACAAAUCCUAGGACACCUCCUACCAUACCACCACCAAUUCCUAGGACACCUCCUACCACACCACCACCAAAUCCUAGGACACCACCGACAAAUCCUAGGACACCUCCUACCACACCACCACCAAAUCCUAGGACACCUCCUUCGACACCACCACCAAUUCCUAGGACAC
rnacentral:lncRNA from 1 species